AAAACUCUAAGCGGUGGAUCACUCGGCUCAUGGGUCGAUGAAGAACGCAGCAAACUGUGCGUCAUCGUGUGAACUGCAGGACACAUGAACAUCGACAUUUUGAACGCAUAUCGCAGUCCAUGCUGUUAUGUACUUUAAUUAAUUUUAUAGUGCUGCUUGGACUACAUAUGGUUGAGGGUUGUAAGACUAUGCUAAUUAAGUUGCUUAUAAAUUUUUAUAAGCAUAUGGUAUAUUAUUGGAUAAAUAUAAUAAUUUUUAUUCAUAAUAUUAAAAAAUAAAUGAAAAACAUUAUCUCACAUUUGAAUGUGAAAAACGAAGAGAAAUAUUUUCUUUUUCAAUCAAAUAAUACUGAGAAAUGUCUAGCAUAAAAAAUUGAAAUAUUUUUCAUCUAGAAUUGUCUCUUAUUAAUGAUUCGGAAAUAGAAAAAUCUUGGUUAUGUUAUUAUUCUUCGUUGGUUCGUUAAAAAUGGAUAAAUAAAAACUUUGCAUACAAGAAUUAAUAAAAAUGUUAUAACGAAUUUAAUUAAAUGUUUUAUCAUUAUAUAUAAAGAAUUUAUGGCAAGAUAAAGUUAUAUACAACCUCAACUCAUAUGGGACUACCCCCUGAAUUUAAGCAUAUUAAUUAGGGGAGGAAAAGAAACUAACAAGGAUUUUCUUAGUAGCGGCGAGCGAAAAGAAAACAGUUCAGCACUAAGUCACUUUGUCUAUAUGGCAAAUGUGAGAUGCAGUGUAUGGAGCGUCAAUAUUCUAGUAUGAGAAAUUAACGAUUUAAGUCCUUCUUAAAUGAGGCCAUUUACCCAUAGAGGGUGCCAGGCCCGUAUAACGUUAAUGAUUACUAGAUGAUGUUUCCAAAGAGUCGUGUUGCUUGAUAGUGCAGCACUAAGUGGGUGGUAAACUCCAUCUAAAACUAAAUAUAACCAUGAGACCGAUAGUAAACAAGUACCGUGAGGGAAAGUUGAAAAGAACUCUGAAUAGAGAGUUAAACAGUACGUGAAACUGCUUAGAGGUUAAGCCCGAUGAACCUGAAUAUCCGUUAUGGAAAAUUCAUCAUUAAAAUUGUAAUAUUUAAAUAAUAUUAUGAGAAUAGUGUGCAUUUUUUCCAUAUAAGGACAUUGUAAUCUAUUAGCAUAUACCAAAUUUAUCAUAAAAUAUAACUUAUAGUUUAUUCCAAUUAAAUUGCUUGCAUUUUAACACAGAAUAAAUGUUAUUAAUUUGAUAAAGUGCUGAUAGAUUUAUAUGAUUACAGUGCGUUAAUUUUUCGGAAUUAUAUAAUGGCAUAAUUAUCAUUGAUUUUUGUGUUUAUUAUAUGCACUUGUAUGAUUAACAAUGCGAAAGAUUCAGGAUACCUUCGGGACCCGUCUUGAAACACGGACCAAGGAGUCUAACAUAUGUGCAAGUUAUUGGGAUAUAAACCUAAUAGCGUAAUUAACUUGACUAAUAAUGGGAUUAGUUUUUUAGCUAUUUAUAGCUAAUUAACACAAUCCCGGGGCGUUCUAUAUAGUUAUGUAUAAUGUAUAUUUAUAUUAUUUAUGCCUCUAACUGGAACGUACCUUGAGCAUAUAUGCUGUGACCCGAAAGAUGGUGAACUAUACUUGAUCAGGUUGAAGUCAGGGGAAACCCUGAUGGAAGACCGAAACAGUUCUGACGUGCAAAUCGAUUGUCAGAAUUGAGUAUAGGGGCGAAAGACCAAUCGAACCAUCUAGUAGCUGGUUCCUUCCGAAGUUUCCCUCAGGAUAGCUGGUGCAUUUUAAUAUUAUAUAAAAUAAUCUUAUCUGGUAAAGCGAAUGAUUAGAGGCCUUAGGGUCGAAACGAUCUUAACCUAUUCUCAAACUUUAAAUGGGUAAGAACCUUAACUUUCUUGAUAUGAAGUUCAAGGUUAUGAUAUAAUGUGCCCAGUGGGCCACUUUUGGUAAGCAGAACUGGCGCUGUGGGAUGAACCAAACGUAAUGUUACGGUGCCCAAAUUAACAACUCAUGCAGAUACCAUGAAAGGCGUUGGUUGCUUAAAACAGCAGGACGGUGAUCAUGGAAGUCGAAAUCCGCUAAGGAGUGUGUAACAACUCACCUGCCGAAGCAACUAGCCCUUAAAAUGGAUGGCGCUUAAGUUGUAUACCUAUACAUUACCGCUAAAGUAGAUGAUUUAUAUUACUUGUGAUAUAAAUUUUGAAACUUUAGUGAGUAGGAAGGUACAAUGGUAUGCGUAGAAGUGUUUGGCGUAAGCCUGCAUGGAGCUGCCAUUGGUACAGAUCUUGGUGGUAGUAGCAAAUAAUCGAAUGAGACCUUGGAGGACUGAAGUGGAGAAGGGUUUCGUGUGAACAGUGGUUGAUCACGAGUUAGUCGGUCCUAAGUUCAAGGCGAAAGCCGAAAAUUUUCAAGUAAAACAAAAAUGCCUAACUAUAUAAACAAAGCGAAUUAUAAUACACUUGAAUAAUUUUGAACGAAAGGGAAUACGGUUCCAAUUCCGUAACCUGUUGAGUAUCCGUUUGUUAUUAAAUAUGGGCCUCGUGCUCAUCCUGGCAACAGGAACGACCAUAAAGAAGCCGUCGAGAGAUAUCGGAAGAGUUUUCUUUUCUGUUUUAUAGCCGUACUACCAUGGAAGUCUUUCGCAGAGAGAUAUGGUAGAUGGGCUAGAAGAGCAUGACAUAUACUGUUGUGUCGAUAUUUUCUCCUCGGACCUUGAAAAUUUAUGGUGGGGACACGCAAACUUCUCAACAGGCCGUACCAAUAUCCGCAGCUGGUCUCCAAGGUGAAGAGUCUCUAGUCGAUAGAAUAAUGUAGGUAAGGGAAGUCGGCAAAUUAGAUCCGUAACUUCGGGAUAAGGAUUGGCUCUGAAGAUUGAGAUAGUCGGGCUUGAUUGGGAAACAAUAACAUGGUUUAUGUGCUCGUUCUGGGUAAAUAGAGUUUCUAGCAUUUAUGUUAGUUACUUGUUCCCCGGAUAGUUUAGUUACGUAGCCAAUUGUGGAACUUUCUUGCUAAAAUUUUUAAGAAUACUAUUUGGGUUAAACCAAUUAGUUCUUAUUAAUUAUAACGAUUAUCAAUUAACAAUCAAUUCAGAACUGGCACGGACUUGGGGAAUCCGACUGUCUAAUUAAAACAAAGCAUUGUGAUGGCCCUAGCGGGUGUUGACACAAUGUGAUUUCUGCCCAGUGCUCUGAAUGUCAAAGUGAAGAAAAUAAAAAAAAAAGCUAAGACAGAGGGGCGAUUAUAAGGAGAAAAUAGAGCAGAUAAGAGGGCAAUCAGCUCUCGCCCCGGAAGUUGCUAAUCUAACCAUAAGGCGCCGCCCUAGUAGAAGUGAGCAAGACCACCAAGUAACAACAUCGGAAACAACUCCAAUCACUCCCUUCGAACAGUCGAACAGGGAAAUUUUGCGGACACUACGCGGGUAUAGCCCCGUAGAAUGCCAUUCCAAAUGGAGAGCCCAAGAGCUGCAAACUAUCAUUGAUAGGGCACAUCUCGAGGGAAAGGAAACCACUCUCCAAUGCUUAUCGCUAUAUCUCCUGGGAAUUUUUCCGGCACAGGGUGUACGACACACACUGACGAGACCUCCUCGGAGACCUCGGAACAGGAGAGAAAGCAGAAGGCAGCAGUACGCUGUCGUCCAGCGUAACUGGGAUAAGCAUAAAGGAAGAUGCAUCAAGUCCUUGCUAAAUGGAACUGAUGAGUCGGUAAUGCCAAGCCAAGAAAUAAUGGUUCCCUACUGGAGAGAAGUAAUGACUCAGCCUAGCCCAAGCUCUUGCAGUGGAGAAGUGAUACAAAUGGAUCACUCGCUUGAGAGGGUAUGGUCUGCUAUUACAGAGCAGGACCUUCGGGCGUCAAGAGUCUCAUUAUCCUCGUCUCCGGGGCCUGACGGGAUAACUCCAAAAUCUGCCAGGGAGGUGCCGUCAGGUAUUAUGCUGCGCAUAAUGAACCUAAUUCUAUGGUGCGGUAAUCUACCACACUCUAUACGACUGGCCAGAACC
rnacentral:rRNA from 1 species